rnacentral:rRNA from 1 species
AGUGAACGCUGGCGGCGUGCCUAAUACAUGCAAGUCGAACGGAGAUUCAGUAGCUUGCUAUUUAAUCUUAGUGGCGCACGGGUGAGUAAUAUAUAGCUAACUUGCCCAUUACUAAGGGACAACAGUUGGAAACGACUGCUAAUACCUUAUACUCCGUAUCUAUAUAAGUAGAUACGGGAAAGUUUUUCGGUAAUGGAUAGGGCUAUAUCGUAUCAGCUAGUUGGUAAGGUAAUGGCUUACCAAGGCUAUGACGCGUAACUGGUCUGAGAGGAUGAUCAGUCACACUGGAACUGAGACACGGUCCAGACUCCUACGGGAGGCAGCAGUAGGGAAUAUUGCUCAAUGGGGGAAACCCUGAAGCAGCAACGCCGCGUGGAGGAGGACACUUUUCGGAGCGUAAACUCCUUUUCUUGGGAAAGAAUUAUGACGGUACCCAAGGAAUAAGCACCGGCUAACUCCGUG